rnacentral:tRNA from 1 species
GCUUCUGUAGUUCAGUGGAUAGAACGUUGGUUUCCGGAACCAAAGACGGGGGUUCGAUUCCCUUCAGAAGCACCA